rnacentral:rRNA from 1 species
CACCGCGGUUAUACGAGAGACCCAAGUUGUUAGACAUCGGCGUAAAGAGUGGUUAAGUACUAUUACUUACUAAAGCCGAACACCUUCGAAGCUGUCAUACGCACCUGAAGACAGGAAGUUCAAUCACGAAAGUGGCUUUAUACCAACUGAAUCCACGAAAGCUAGGGCA